rnacentral:snRNA from 1 species
GUGCUCACUUCGGCAACACAUAUACUAAAACUGGAACAAUACAGAGAUUAGCAUGGCCCAUGCACAAGUGUGACAUGUAAACUCGUGAAGUGUUCCAUAUUAAA